rnacentral:tRNA from 1 species
GCUGCCGUAGCUCAGUGGUAGAGCGCACCCUUGGUAAGGGUGAGGUCGAGAGUUCAAUCCUCUCCGGCAGCACCA